rnacentral:tRNA from 1 species
AGCUCAAUUGGUUAGAGCAGGGCGCUCAUAACGCCUUGGUUGGGGGUUCGAGUCCCUCC